AUGGCUGAAGGAACUAGUACUGGAAAGUGGACUUAUGUCACAUGGGAUGAUGAGAUGGACGCUGCCUUGCUUGAGGUACUUGUUCAUCAUCACAACAUGGGUGACCAUUCACAAAAUGGAUGGAAAGCACAUGUGUAUAGUGCAGCUAUCAAGAAUGUGAAGGAGAAGUGCAAUAAGGAUAUCACGAAGAACAACAUAUCAGAAAGGCUUAGGACUUUCGACAAUCAAUUUGAAAUUAUUAACAAGAUCCUUUCUCAAAGAGGUUUUGGUUGGGAUUGGGUCAAUAAUAAGCUAUUGUAG
rnacentral:rRNA from 1 species